rnacentral:rRNA from 1 species
AUUGAACGCUGGCGGCAGGCCUAACACAUGCAAGUCGAGCGGGGUUUUCGGACCUAGCGGCGGACGGGUGAGUAAUGCGUAGGAAGCUGCCCGAUAGAGGGGGAUACCAGUAGGAAACGACUGUUAAUACCGCAUAAUGUCUACGGACCAAAGUGUGGGACCUUCGGGCCACAUGCUAUCGGAUGCGCCUACGUGGGAUUAGCUAGUUGGUGAGGUAACGGCUCACCAAGGCGACGAUCUCUAGCUGGUUUGAGAGGAUGAUCAGCCACACUGGGGCUGAGACACGGGCCAGACUCUACGGGAGGCAGCAGUGGGGAAUAUUGGACAAUGGGCGCAAGCCUGAUCCAGCCAUGCCGCGUGUGUGAAGAAGGCCUUCGGGUUGUAAAGCACUUUCAGCGAGGAGGAAGGGGUGUGUGUUAAUAGUACACACCUUUGACGUUACUCGCAGAAGAAGCACCGGCUAACUCUGUGCCAGCCGCCGCGGUAAAAC